rnacentral:misc_RNA from 1 species
GAUGAAGAACGUAGCGAAAUGCGAUAAGUAAUGUGAAUUGCAGAAUUCAGUGAAUCAUCGAAUCUUUGAACGCACCUUGCGCUCCUUGGUAUUCCGAGGAGCAUGCCUGUUUGAGUGUCAUGAAAUUCUCAACCUUUUCAGCUUUCUUUGUUGAUCAGGCUUGGAUGUGGGAGUAUGCGGGCUUCUCAGAAGUCGGCUCUCCUGAAAUGCAUUAGCGGGACCUUUGUUGCCUGGCUUUGGUGUGAUAAUUAUCUACGCCAUUGUAGUCAAGCAGCUUAAAAUGAGGUUUCAGCUUCUAACCGUCUCCCCUGAGACAACUUUUUGACAAUUUGACCUCAAAUCAGGUAGGACUACCCGCUGAACUUAAGCAUAUCAAUAAGCGGAGG